rnacentral:rRNA from 1 species
UACGUAGGGUGCGAGCGUUUGUCCGGAAUUACUGGGCGUAAAGAGCUCGUAGGUGGUUUGUCGCGUUGUCCGUGAAAACUCACAACUCAAUUGUGGGCGUGCGGGCGAUACGGGCAGACUGGAGUACUGCAGGGGAGACUGGAAUUCCUGGUGUAGCGGUGGAAUGCGCAGAUAUCAGGAGGAACACCGGUGGCGAAGGCGGGUCUCGUGGGCAGUGAACUGACGCUGGAGGAGCGAAAGCGUGGGGAGCGAACAGG